rnacentral:snoRNA from 1 species
ACCUUCUAGAUUCCUUAUCUCUCAGGUCUAAAUACUGGUGUGAGUGGCUACAAAAGGAGGAAAAGUAAGACUGAAGUGGACUGGGAGUCUUUAGUGACAUACAAGUUCAUUUCAAACAUAU